GUAAGGUGAUAUGAACCGUUAUAACCGGCGAUACCCGAAUGGGGAAACCCAGUGUGAUUCGUCACACUAUCAUUAACUGAAUCCAUAGGUUAAUGAGGCGAACCGGGGGAACUGAAACAUCUAAGUACCCCGAGGAAAAGAAAUCAACCGAGAUUCCCCCAGUAGCGGCGAGCGAACGGGGAGGAGCCCAGAGCCUGAAUCAGCAUGUGUGUUAGUGGAAGCGUCUGGAAAGGCGCGCGAUACAGGGUGACAGCCCCGUACACAAAAGCGCAUGUGCUGUGAGCUCGAUGAGUAGGGCGGGACACGUGGUAUCCUGUCUGAAUAUGGGGGGACCAUCCUCCAAGGCUAAAUACUCCUGACUGACCGAUAGUGAACCAGUACCGUGAGGGAAAGGCGAAAAGAACCCCGGCGAGGGGAGUGAAAAAGAACCUGAAACCGUGUACGUACAAGCAGUGGGAGCACAGGUUUACCUG
rnacentral:rRNA from 1 species